UAGAGAAAGGUGGUGUUGUUGGCAUUAGGAGAAGGGGAGCUGAGUCAUGUAGGAGAGGGAAGGUGUAUGAGUGAUAUUUAAGAUAGGAAACUGGAAAACAAAAGGAUACGAUGAUUAAGCUCGGUAGAUGAAGAGAAAUUGAGUUCUUGGUGUUGGUAGGAGAGAAAUAAAAUGAAUAGAGGUGAGAGAGUUGUGUUAUUGUAAGGUUUAACUAGAUAGAGUAUUGAAGCUAAUAGAAAACAGUAGGAUAGAAGAUGAGUGAGGGUUAUGGAGUUGUUAUCAUGGUGUUCUUAGUUGGGUUAGAUAUGAAGAUAGUUAAUGGUGAUGAUGAUGGAGAAGUUCAUGGUGUUUAUGAUGAAAAGAUGAUAAUGAUUGAAAUUGGAUGAUGGGGAUGAUAGAACACCCUUAAACAACCAAGAAAGAUCCUUUGGUGUCGAGGAAUCAACUAGCGACGUUACUUUUAUUUGUAUCUCAAGGUGGUGUUCAUUCUGAUUCUCAUACUUUUUAUACGCCUUUUGAUUUUGAUUUUGUAUUUUUCAUUUUCACUUUAUAGAUCUGGAUUUUAUAUAAAUUGGAGGGAAAUUUCGAUGUGUAACCUAAUUCUAAUUCUUUUCGGAACUCUGUGUUCUUUUGUUAUGAUUUCAAUCUUAUUAGUGUUCGGACUGGAUUUGGGUGGAAUUUUGUUUUUUGAUUAGUGAACUGUUGAAAAUGUGAAUUUUGUUGAUUGUAUGUAGAAAAUGAGGUUUCUCCUAGCAGUGACAAGGAAAUUACGAAGAAGCUCGUACAUGAGGUGUAGUGAAGGUCAAAGAUGAUAAAGAUGAGUCCCCAACUUAUGUUGCUAUGCUUGCAGCCCAAGAUGAUGCAACACGGUGCAAGGUUAUCUGCUAAACUUACCUCUGCAAAUCUGAAUGUUAUCCAACUGGAAUUUGGCGUGGUUGGUAUUUUUAUCCGUCUGUGUGGAUUAGGGUGCAGUUUGGCUAUCAUGGAUUCUAGAUUUUUUGGAUCUUUGCAGCGUUGUACAUAAUUGUACACACCAAUGUAAAUUAAAAAAAAAUGAAAAUGAAAAUUAUAUAGUCAUAUGGGUACUCUUUUUGUAGUUCUCGAAAAAUGCUUUCCAAAUAUGUAAAGUUUGUCGAUUUUGGA